CGAUCCAGUGAUCGUUAGGGGCUGUGACACACCAACCCGAUAUCGGCCGUUGGACAGUCUGGCACGGUCAGUGACUCGAGUCCGUUGUGUGUUUUGCGU